rnacentral:lncRNA from 1 species
ACACACAGCAUUUACCAAAAUAAAACAAUAGUUUUGAGUGUGAAACUUCGACUCACGGAGCCACCACGAGAAACUUAACGAGAAACAUCAAACAUCAAUGAACAUCAAAAUGUCAACAUCAUAUUUUGUACUACUAUUGCAAUCAUGGCAAUGUUUUAUCCAUAUUAUAACUAAUUGUUUGGCAGACUCCUUAUUCUGUAUCCAUGGCUAACCCCUUGACUGUUAGACCAAUCACCACCGUCCAUAUUCAAGCUCGCAACGAGGAGCGCGGCGUGGUCUGGGCCUUCCUCUUGCCCUAAUGUAGCGACUUCCACCAUGUGCUUGCUCUGCAAGUAUAGUUCAAUGUCAGAUGAGAUGAAAUACUCUAGGUUUCACAACACUUCACAUCGAAAAGAAGUAAAGAUGUUAUCAAUAUGGAUUUAAAAAAAAGGAAAAACUUGACUAGUUUGCCCACCUGUAUCCCCAGCCGCUACGAAGUGAUACCUAGUCCUACUUCUAAGAAAAACACGUGGUAGCAUAUGAAAAUAACCUCCCUAGACAUAUUAGAUAAUUCUAAGAUGAACAUGUGGUAGCACGGCUCAAAAGUUGGAAAUAACUGACACCCUUUGGUUUGUGGGAAACUAUAACAUAAUUCUAAGAUCAACAUGGAUACCGCUUGAUGUGUAUUUCAGUCUCAGCUUCCGUCUAUGGAAAUAAGUGCCACCCUUUGGUUUGUGGGAAACUAUACCAUAAUUCUAAGAUCAACAUGGAUACCUCUUGAUGUAUAUUUCACAGUCUCAGCUUCCGUAACUUCAUUUUGGUAAGUACAGAGCUUACUAAUUUGCAUAACAUGGUAAGCACAUCACUCUAUGAUUAAACUUAGCUAACGGAGUAUACCUUAGCUCUGAGAUAAAUGCAUCCCAAAACAAACAGAAAAUAAGGAAGAAACCAAAUUUAGAUGGACUACAAAGUGCAAGUGCAGAGUUAGAACAAUAUAUGCAACUCCUGAAGAAAACAUUACUUCAUGUACGUGAUCUCCAAAGCAAGGUCAAUAAUUCCUGUCCCACGGUUUUCCAAUUAUGCCAUGACUAAAAUGACUAAUACGGCAAUAAUAAAAAUCCCCUAAGAAAAAGUAAAGGUAGUACUUAUCAGUAGCUGAUUGCCAACACUUCAAAAAAUAUACUUCAAACUGCUUAUACACAUAGCAAAGACAAACAUUGCUUUUACAUAAAAAGACCACAGAUUGUCAGAUAAUUUUGUCUGAAGAAAUACUCUUUUGUCCUCGUAGGCAGGAUAACCAAUUUAUUUAAGUAUACUAUAUGUGGUAAUCUUCCCUGAUUCUCAGGGCCAACUAGUAGCUUUUGAGCCCUUAUUUUCAUUGGCGAAAUAUCUUUGACAUACGAAACUGCUACUCAGUUAUACAUUUUCAGUAGAAUUUAAGUACUUAUUAAAAAGUUUGUUGUCGACCCAAUGCGAUACACCCCUAAAAGAUGGACAUGAUGUGACUCUUUAAAUAUACAGGCGACAAUUGUUCACUGUUGUAUUUUGUGCUAAACUUUGACCUCAGAUUUGAUUAGCAAAAUAUAAGUUAUAUGCCAUGAAAAUAUAUUCAUAGAUUUGUAUCUGAAAGGAGUUUCCAAUGAUAUUAAUUUGGUUACAUAUAAAUUAUAUGUUGCUAGUGAUACUAUGGUCAAACUUUAUGCCAAAGUACAAGGGGACAAAUAAACCGGACAGAGGCAGUAGGCGCUUGGAAAUUGAUGGUAUCAAAGAAAAGAGGACUCAACUUCAGGACCCAGUCAAUGAAAUAUUAAUAAAUAGCCUACAUCAGUCCUACGGCUAGGCUCAUAUAGGCUUCAGAAGAGCCUAGCCAUGAGGGGUGUGUCGAAAUAUAUUGCACAAGCUUCUUCAUGAAUUCAAGAGAGGGUAUACCCAUUGAAUGGUCCAACUCAACUGGUUGUACACGUGUCUCUUAGGACAUGAGUUUUGGCUUAUUUCAAUGCGCAUAAUUAGUUUUCCUAAACUCAUAAUAUUGGCAUAGUGUCUCAAAGAAGCGAAUUCAUAUUCGACUUGGCAAGAUAUACAUGGACAUAAAUAACUGACACCCUUUGGUUUGUGGGAAGCUAUAACAUAAUUCUAAGAUCAACACGGACACACCGCUUGAUGUGUGUUUCACAGUCUCAGCUCCCGUAAUUAACUUCAUUUUGGUAAGUACAGAACUUACUAAUUUGCAUAACAUGGUAAGCACAUCACUCUAUGAUUAUACUUAGCUAAUGGAGUAUACCUUAGCUCUGAGAUAAAUGCAUCAAAGAACAAACAGAAAAUAAGGAAGAAACCAAAUUUAGAUGGACUAUAAAGUGCAAGUGCGGAGUUGGAACAAUAUAUGCCGUCCCUAUAAGAAAACAUUACUUCAUAUACGUGAUCUCCAAAGUGAAAACAUCUCAACUGGCAGCAACCAGCAAGGUCAAUAAUUCCUGUCCCAUGGUUUUCCAAUUAUGGCAUGAAUAAAAUGAUUAAUAAGGCAAUAAUAAAAAUCCCCUAAGGAAAAGUAAAGGUAGUGCUUAUCAGUAGCUGAUUGCCAACACUUCUUCAAAAAAUAUACUUCAAACUGCUUAUACACAUAGCAAAGACACAUAUUGCUUUUACAUAGAAACAAAACAGAUUGUCGGAUGAUUUUCUCUGAAGAAAUACUCUUUUGUCCUCGCAGGCACGAUAACCAAUUUAUUAAAGUACACUAUAUGUGGUAAUCUUGUCUGAUACCACUCAUUGAACCACAUGGACAUUAAAACUGGAACAUCAUAGGGGGUGGUGCUUUAGAGGAUUCGAUCCCUCGCUCUACUAGGUGUGUGAAGAUAACUUGUUGUCAUUGUAAUUGCUUAUGUCAAAUCGCAGAGGAACUAACAUGGGAGGAAAAAGACAACUCGAGAGAUUGGCUGCAUGUUCUUUGGUUAAAGACGCCUACCAACCUAUUUUUUUGGGCCAACUAGUAGCAUUUGAGCCCUUAUUUCCAUUGUUGAAAUAUCUUUAACAUACAAAACUGCUACUCAUAUAUUUUCAUUAGAAUUUAAGUACUUAUUUAAAAGUUUGUAUCGACCCAAUGCGAUACUCCUCUAAAAGAUGGACGUGAGGUGACUUUUUAAAUAUACUGGCGACAAUUGUUCACCCGCUUUAAGUUUACAAGGUACUAGUCUGUCCAGGUUAAUUAGUUCCCUUCGUAUUUUGUCCUAAAAUUUGACCUUAGGUUUGAUUAGAAAAAUAUAAGUUAUAUGUCAUGAAAAUUAUAUUGAUAGAUUUUUAUUUGAAAGGAGUUUGCAAUGAUAUUACUUCUGUUACAUAUAAUUUAUAUGUUGCUAGUGAUAUCGUGGUCAAACUUUAUCCCAAAGUACAAGGGGGACAAAUAAACAGGACAUGGGUAGUAGGCGCUUGGAAAUCGAUGGUAUCAAGGAAAAGAGGACUCGACUUCAGGACCGAAUCAAUGAACUAUUAAUAAAUAGCCUACAUCAAUCCGACGACUAGGCUCACAUAGGCUUCAGAAGAGCCUAGAUAUGAGGGGUCUGUCGAAAUAUAUUUCACAAGCUUCUUCAUCAGCUUAAGCUUUUGGGGAACUACUAGUUAACAUCAUGAAUUCAAGAGAGGGUAUACCCAUUGAAUGGUUCAACUCAACUACUUGUACACGUGUCUGUUAGGACAUGAGUUUUGGCUUUUUUCAAUGCACAUAAUUAGUUCUCCUAUAAGCCCAUAAUAUUUGCAUGAGUGUCUCAAAGAAGCGAAUUCAUAUUUAUUUGGCAAGAUAUACAUGGACAUAAAUAACACACAAUCCCUAAAUGGUUGCUUCAAUCCAUCACAGAUUCCGGUUGCCAAAAUUGACCAGGUAAACCCGACACAUAAUUCAAAAUGGUUAUGCUUCCCAUACGGAUGGAGUGGUGUGCCAUCUACAGUAUCAACGAUGGCGAGUCUUGGCGGCAAGGUCUUGCAUGGUCUCAGCACUGGAUACCAUUUGAUGGGCGCACGCAGGAGGCUGGCGUUGUUUGGCGUCAUGGUGGCGUCAACGGCAGAAGGGUAUCACAAGAUUAGUGCAUUGAUUGCUCGUGAACGUGGGACUGCGGAAGAAGGCGGCGACAGAUUCUACAGCAUGCGGAUGCAGUGCAUGCUGAGGGUCUGAUAGACCGGUGUGUGCUCCCGGCUAGCCGGCGAGCCGCUUGGUGAGUCCACCAGAUUUUUUGGUGUGUGUGAAGCGAGGUCAGGGCACAUCAUCAAUCUUGUAGGUAGGACGUCAGUUCUCAGCAGGAAGCUAUCGUUGGGCUGAACUAUGUAAUGUGUGUGUGCAUCAUGCAAUACAAAGGCUAGGUGUAAUUAUCCUUUUCGAAAAAAGGAGGCCGAUGUGUGAGUCAUUACUCUUUCAGUAAUUUCUAUACAAAAGCUUAGCGAAAUACGUUCAAUGUAUCAAGUUACAACAUGGGCGCACAUUUGGUUAUGAAACACAGGUGACUUGGAGUUAUCCUAGUGGUGGAAUUGAAGUGGCUCAUCUAUACCGACUUGUGUUCCACUUGAUGGAGGCACUUAGUACUAAUACAGUUAUUUGGGCACAUCGUCUAUGCUUGACACAUAGUGCCACCUUGCUCCUCCCUAUUAGUACAAGUGAUUAUCAAAGUCAGCAUAAGGGCAUAUUUUAGUACGUAAUAUUAAGGACUUAGAGAUAACAUUGAGGUGGAAUUAUAAUGGCACAUCUUUCCAUUUGGGUUCGACGCCAUGGAGGCAAUUAAGGUCGGAGUGUCUGAUCAUUUGGGAUUAUCGUCUCUCCUUGAGAUGAAACGGCAAAUUCCUCCUCUUUUUUGUACAUGUCAUUAUCAAAUUUACAACAUAGGGUACAUUCAAUUAUGUAAUACAGAAGACUUGGAGUUGUAGAAUUGCAAUGUCGCAUCUUCACCGACUUGGGUUAGACUUACGGUAGAAGGUGGGUAAUUUGAUAAUGUUGAUUGUUAGGCCCUGGGGUCUCUCCUUUAGAUAACAGGCCAUACCAUUCGACCCCAUUGGCACAUGUCAUUAUGCAAUACUCAUUUGAUUCAGAGUAGGCAAUACACCAUAUGUGACCAUAGAUAUGCACGGGGUGGAUGCCGCUUGACCUUUGGUUCAAAAAUCAUUGGUAAUAUUGAAGGUUAAUGAUCUCCUCAACUCCACUUAUGUUCAUCUAAAUAGAGGAGGAGCUUAGUUCCCUUUCCAUUAUCUUGUUUGAACAAAUGUACACAACCAUAUUUGUUUAGAGAAGUAACAAACGUGUGGACACUAAAAGGUGGGCACAAAGUGUGAAAACAAGUAUACAUAGUAGCAUAUAUAAUCAAUAUCAACUACUACAUAACCAAUUAAGACCCAUGUCAGGACAUAUGUUUUUUUGACAAUUGAAUCUGAUACAAAGCCACCGACAACUUUUUGCUCCAUGUCCUCCGUCCUUUGCAACAUAGACCACUUAGCUUGACUAUGAAGUAGUCGCUGGAAUGAAGCCCAAUGCCCAUGUAGUAUAUGGGUUUGAAUUAUAUGAAGAAUAGUUGAUGUAUGUUAGAAUGCUCCAUUUGAAGCUCAAAAAAUUAUCCUUUUGAUGCCUCCCAUCUUUAUUAGCUUUACUAGAUAGGAUACCUCAAGAAUCACCAUAUGUCUUUCUCUGUCAUGCAUAUUGUAAGCCUUAAAUUAAAGGUGUGGAGAAAUAAUGAUGACUGUUCGCUCCAUGUCCUCCAGCCUUUGCAACAUAGACCGCUUAGCUUGACCAUGAAGUAGUAGUUGCAAUGAAGUCCAAUGUCCAUGCAGGAUGUGGGUUUAAAUUACAUGAAACAUCAAAUUCUCGUGACUAGUUACAUCGUGUCAUCUCCAAUCUGGUAUUUCCAGCCAAGUUUGCCACCCUACCGAGGGUACUGACAGGUUUACGUAUACUAAGUGCAAGCCGAGGACAUCGUGCUAGAACGGUUGCUACCUGCAUCUGGCACGGUGGCGAGCUGCAACAAACGCCCAUUGGAGUUGCGUCCGACACGGCGCCGACCUGCAAUCGCCACUCGAUGGAGCUGCAUUCAUCACAGCCGCAAGCUGCAACCGGAGCCCGAAAGAACUGCAUCCGGCAAAGCAUUUUUUUCAAGGAUACGUCAAGCAGACGUAUCGAGAUCAUAGAUAGAAGUGCCAAGAUGGCAGGUUUUUACAACAUUACCCACGGCUACACAAGCGAGAGAACGUACGUUGACUACUCACUACUACUCAACCGAUCUAUCCUAACUGGGAGCGAUCCUGCCUCCCGCAACAGAGCCGUGGCCCUCCAGUUUUGUCCCUCCGCUUCGAUCUGCUGAAGUACCAUGUUCACGGAUGGCGAAUCUACGUCGAACAUGAUGUCGUUCCUGUGUUUCCACAAUGUCCAAGCCACUAGAGUGAUCACCGUCCAUGUUUCCUUCCUAUUGUUUUUGUGUAUGUUCAGGGAGGUCCACCAGCCCACAAGCUCUGGCUCCUGCUUCGGCGUCCGGUGAGGUUUGCCCCAGUUACCCAUGAUGAUGGACCAGACUUGUCCAACAUCGUUUCUUCGGUGGCUCCUGCAGUCUCCAUACGUCCACAAAAAUGAGCAUGAUAGGUUGAUCGGGCGGAAAACAAGCCAUCUCCUUCCCAAGCCUAGACAAUUUUGUCUUCAAUUCCGUCCACUAGCUCGAUGCUCUGGAGUCGAUCUACCAAUCUAAGAAACUCUUGGAUUGCCUGGGCGGCAAUGUUGGGUGACACAUCACGCCACCACUUCCUUGACAUUGCUUUUCUCAUCGUCUUGACCUUGGAUGCGCUCUUCUUGACGGCACCGAAUAAGCUGGGCAAGACAUCGAGCUGCAACCAGCGACAUGUGGUGCUACGACCGCCCAACCGCGACGGUGAGUUGUCCAGAUUUUCCAGAGCCGACACGGACAAGCUGCUGCAAACAUGGCAUGCCGGUGCGACUUCCGGGUCGGGUGGUUCUGCUCAUGUGAACCAAGUCACGCCCAGGGGCCAGCCGUGCUACAUGCUACCACAUCGGUUAUGCAACCAUGGUCAGCGUUUGUUGCGACCGGCCAGGGCACCACCUCGGCGGCGACGAGCGUUACCCUGUCGGAGAUCAACGAGCAUGGCCACGAUGAUGGCGGAUGGCCCAUUGUUGGGGCAGCGACGUGGUCAAGUGCGUAGCAUGCGGCGUGAGCAAUGCACUAGGUAUUUCCCCCCUUGCCUUGCGAGCGCAGGGAAGGGAGGACGAGGCACAUCAGACGGUUCACAUCGUUCUAAGGCGGCUAAUCUCCACCUAAUAAUAAAGGUUGUCCCUCAUGCCUUUUACAAAAAAGUCCCUGCCCUUUGUUGAAAUCAACCCGCAGUCCAUCUUUAAGUCAUGACGUCCUUUUUCCAGUCUUACAUAAAACCCCCUGAUGUUUAUACUAACCAACCCGCAGUCCAACAUUAAGUCACAACAAACCGUUUUCUGAAGUUUUACAUAAAAUCCCAUAAUCUUUGCCUUAAUCCACUCGCAAUCCAUCUACAAUAAAUAUUUUUUAAAAUAAAUCAUGUCUUUUAAGCCCUAACUCAAAUUUUAACAUCUUAUAUGUGAAAUUUGAUUAGAAAAAUAUGUAGAAUCCGAAUAUGGUGUUUUUUAUCUAUUAACUAUUAAAAAAAUGUUAUUCAGGAUGCAACCUAAAUCAAUGGCGCAUGACUCGUCAUUCCUUCGUAGCGGUGUCAAUUCGUAUUCCUUAGUGUCGCACGACAUCGACUGGUUGCUAUCUGAGUCUGGCCAUAGUUGCACGCCAUCAAUAUUUGCAAGCCAGAACCAAAAUUGAAUCUAAGUGAAAGCAGUGGCUCGGAUAAAAAAAUAUUUACUCUCCAGUUAUAACGAACGGGCAUGUUUGUUACUACUCCUCCGAAGUACAUAAUUCUACCUUUUUAAUUCAUUGGCAUCUUUGGAGUAAAAGUUAAUUAAUGGGGGGAAAAACGUGCGCGUAGUUCUAGCUUCCAAACGAGACAACAUGUUGAAGGGUGCUAUCCAUACCAAGGCCAAGCAAUACAGGGGGUAUUUGGUUCAGAAGUCCUAGGACUUUUUCUAGUCCCAGGGACUAAUCAAAAAAGACUCUCCAGUAGAGUCUUUUUCUAGUCCCUGUAAAAAAAGUCCCUCCCGUUUGGUUCCUAGGGACUUUUUCUAGUCUCUGGGACUAAAAAGUCCCUGAAGCAAACACCCCCACAGUCAACUAGGGGGAAUUUUAUUGCGACGCUAAAUUGCAGCCCAUCGGAACACAUUCAUCCCAAGGAGUUAACUAACGAAUGUCAAAAACAGUUUGUUUGAUUGUACCCAAGGGCGAGGGAUGCAUGCAUAGAGCCAUAGACACACACUAGGUUGUAAAGCAAACAAUCUACAGUAAGUACAGUAGUAGAAUAUAUAGAAUGAUGUAAGGCCAAGUAAUGAAGUACGCACCUAACGCGCAUGCGUCGCACCCCGAUGUAUGUCUAUACCCGGCGUGCCUCGACGGAAUGUUGCCCGGCUGAUUAGCAUCAAGAUCAAAUUGCAAGCGAUUAGACAAGCCAAGAAUACAUGCACAUCAGGCAAUUCAUUAAGGACAACUGUAGAUUAACAUAACCAGAAGGAUCAUUUGUGCUAAAUCAUUAGUUGAUGGUUAAUUACUUCCAAAUAGGGUCGCCCGGCUAGCUAGCGGAUGGAGAGCUAGGUAGGAAGAUCCACGCACGAUGCAGGAUCCAGCAAGGGAGAGGAGGCGACUCACCAGGUGGUUCUCGGAGACAGGCGGGGGCACCGGCGUCGUUGGGAGCGCAUGCACCGCGACGUGGACCUCUCGGGACUCCAACCGCACUCUGUUGGCGGCCGGUGCAGGGGCGGGGAUGGCCUGGCGGCGUGUCUUGGGCUUGGGUUUCACCAGCGCCGGCGCCGUCGCCGCCUGGAGGGCAAGCACCACGCACGGGCGCCACUCCCAGGGCUGCACUUUGCCUUUUCCUUUGUGGUCGGCGGCGGCGGGUGCCUUCCCUUUCCCAUCGUCAGCAGCGGGGGCGGGGG